CAGCAGCCGCGGGAAUACGAAGGGGGCUAGCGUUGUUCGGAUUUACUGGGCGUAAAGCGCACGUAGGCGGACUUUUAAGUCAGGGGUGAAAUCCCGGGGCUCAACCCCGGAACUGCCUUUGAUACUGGGAGUCUUGAGUCCGAGAGAGGUGAGUGGAAUUGCGAGUGUAGAGGUGAAAUUCGUAGAUAUUCGCAGGAACACCAGUGGCGAAGGCGGCUCACUGGCUCGAUACUGACGCUGAGGUGCGAAAGCGUGGGGAGCAAACAGGAUUAGAUACCCGGGUAGUCCCUGUCUCUUAUAA
rnacentral:rRNA from 1 species